ensembl:lncRNA LINC02509 long intergenic non-protein coding RNA 2509
UGGCCACUUGUGAUGCAAGACAGAGGCAGGACUGAGAAGACGAGAGGUGGGCUUCGUUCCUGAGAAUAUCCAGGAGUCCAAGAGAUCUAAAUUGGAAGAUGGCCUUCCAAUUUAGAAUUCAACUAUCAACUUGCUGGUCCUCUACUUCCCGAAACUCUCCAGCCUACAUUUCUUCCUCUUCUUCGGUUUCUAAACUCAAACUGACUUUGGAAUGAAAGGGAGCAGCUGCUGAGGUAGGAAGGUCGGAGGUGGCCCUCCAAAAGCCUCUUUUCUGGAAGCUCCGCUGCCAAGGGCUCGACUGGAGUCCCAGGACAUAUUCAGAGGCCGCCAGACCCCUGCAUGGAGGCCCCUCCCUUGCAGCUCCUGGUUACCAUGAUUGAAUGAUGUCCUGCAGCUCCGAGCCUCAGCCACCUAUGUUGUCAAGGUUUCCUCUGUGAAAGCAUCCAAAAACUCUGCCAGCACCUUCUUCUUUCCUUUUUUGUUUUCCUACCAGGGCCAGGCCAGGCUCUGCUGGCCAUUUCCGAUUAAGCUCCUCAGAAGGCAUAGAGCCACUCACACUCAGAAUUAUUUAAAAUAACACUAGACUGCAAAUGCCCUAAAUAUCCAUCAGAAAUAAAUGGAUGCAUAACAUUGGGUGAAAGAA